CCAGACGGUUGGAUGGCCGCCUUUCGCGACGGGGAAACCCAGCGGGGGGAGGAAAGUCCGGGCUCCACGGAAACACGGUGCCGGUUAACGGCCGGCGGGGGCAACCCCAGGGACAGUGCCACAGAAAGCAAACCGCCUUGCGGGCUCCGGCCUCAGGGUAAGGGUGAAAGGGUGCGGUAAGAGCGCACCGCGUUCCCGGCAACGGGGACGGCAGGGUAAACCCCACCGGGAGCAAGACCAAAUAGGGGCGGUGCGCCGGACUCGUUCCGGCAGGCGUGUUUUCGCGUCGUCGCCCGGGUAGGUCGCGUGAGGCGUCCGGUAACGGACGUCCCAGAUGAAUGGCCAUCUAUCCCCGGCCUUCGGGCCGGGGUGGACAGAACCCGGCUUACAGGCCGUCUGGCUUU
rnacentral:RNase_P_RNA from 1 species